rnacentral:rRNA from 1 species
GCUAGGGGCCAUACCGGUUACCGAACCUAGUCAAACUACGAAUGGCUAUACUUAUACUCGGGAGUCAGACAGUGAAUGAUAAGGUCCAUUGUCAAGAGGGAAACAGCCCAGAACACCGACUAAGGUCCCAAAUGUUACACUAAGUGGCGAAGGAUGUGGAGUUUCCAAAACAACCAGGAUGUUGGCUUAGAAGCAACCACCAUUUAAAGAGUGCGUAAUAGCUCACUGGUCGAGAGACUCUGCGCCGAAGAUGUCCGGGGCUAAAGUGUAAAACCGAAGUCGUGUCAUAUGCAGCAAUGUAUAUGGGUAGGGGAGCGUUCUCAUCGGGCUGAAGCAGUACCGUAAGGAGUUGUGGACUGAUGAGAAGUGAGAAUGUCGGUAUGAGUAGCGAAAAGAAUGGUGAGAAUCCAUUCCACCGAAAGCCUAAGGGUUCCUGAGCAACGAUCGUCGUCUCAGGGUAAGUCGGGACCUAAGCCGAGGCGGAAAAGCGUAGGCGAUGGACAACAGGUUGAAAUUCCUGUACCGGUGUGAAUCGUUUGAUCGAUGGAGUGACACAGUAAGGC